GAAACAGUUCUCAUUUUGUGUGCUCGGCUGACUGCACGUCCAGCCUCGGGCCAGCUCGAGACGGCCACAUUGCCUGGUUGAAGAUGGCUGAGCGUAAAACAGAAUGCAAGUCAGCUGGAGCACGUACUACUGGAGGCAGAGCCCCAUGAGAAGGGGCCAAGAACCCGCACCCAUCAAAAUCAAGAAGAAAGGCUGAACCCGGAGAGAAAAGGGAGAAGCAGUCUGUUCCCUGGACAUGCUCCUCUCUCUCAGUCCUCAGGUGGUGCCAGUUGGUGGGGGAGAAUGUUCCUGGCAUGUGGACUUGAAUCUGGCAGCAACUGAUGUUGCCAUGCAGAUCCCUUGGUUGCUAUGAGAUGGUAACAUCACUCUGCCCCACCAUUGGCCAGUGCCUCCUCAGCUGCGGUGCCUCCCAGGCUGUGUGGUUCUCACGCGGGCCACUGACACAGAGCUGUUACUAUGGUGAACUUUACAAUUUCCUUUGAUUGGUGGAUUUCAGAAAUAGGCCAUCAGCGGAAUUCAUUAUAUUCAGCUAAGUAAAAAUGAAAAAUAAAUACUAUAACUUUCCCCUCAUCACUAACAUGAAGGAAACGUGACCCUUCAUGACAUAAUAAAUCGCUGUUCGGUAACUUAGGAUCCUUCAGGGGACUGAAGCGGGAUGAUCCUCCUAUGCCAAAUUUGGGUGGGAAAGAUAUUCCCUGUAGCUUUGAGUCGACUCUUCAGAGUUAAGGGCAGUGGGCCAACCAGAGUUGGAACUUCAGAGUUGGGAGGAGGUGUGGGAUGGGGCAUGCAUUGAAAUGUAAACUCUAUUGUCUCUGAAGUGAUGGGUGAUGCUGGGGGCCUGAGUGUGGAGGGCAGUUUUACAUCUCAGGACAAUGUUUUCUCAGAUGCUCUUCCAGAAAGAAAAGCCAGGAGUACUCCUGGCUGGAGGCGGCAUGCCUGAGGUCAGAGUCAAAGUAGGGUUUGUGCUGUCUGAAUCCUUUCUCCCACUCUCCCCAGCCUGGCUCAGCUUCUCAGCUUCUCAGGUGGAUUGGUGAGUCCUGGCCAAUUACGCUUCAGCUCAUCUCUACUCUCAGCAAAUAGGAAAAGGGAGUGAAGGACUGAGUUUUAACUCUUCUAAUUUCGUAACCUGACUCUCUAUAAGAAAAAGUAGGAGAAAGACUGAAGAACCCGAGAGAACAGGCCUCUGAGCCCAAGCCAAGCCAUCGCAUCCCCUGUGACUUGCCCGUAUAUAUGCCCAGAUGGCCUGAAGUAACUGAAGAAUCACAAAAGAAGUGAAUAUGCCUUGCCCCACCUUGACUGAUGACAUUCCACCACAAAAGAAGUGUAAAUGGCCGGUCCUUGCCUUAACUGAUGACAUUACCUUGUGAAAGUCCUUUUCCUGGCUCAUCCUGGCUCAAAAAGCACCCCCACUGAGCAUCUUGCGACUCCCACUCCUGCCCACUGAGCACCUUGUGACCCCCACUCCUGCCUGCCAGAGAACAAACCCCCUUUGACUGUAAUUUUCCUUUACCUACCCAAAUCCUAUAAAACGGCUCCACCCUUAUCUCCUUUUGCUGACUCUCUUUUCUGACUCAGCCCGCCUGCACCCAGGAGAUUAAAAGCUUUAUUGCUCACACAAA
ensembl:lncRNA novel transcript, antisense to PELI1